rnacentral:misc_RNA from 1 species
AACGGAAAGAUAGCAGUGCAAAUCCUGGCAUAGCAAU